rnacentral:rRNA from 1 species
AUUGAACGCUGGCGGCAGGCUUAACACAUGCAAGUCGAGCGGGGGAAGGUAGCUUGCUACCGGACCUAGCGGCGGACGGGUGAGUAAUGCUUAGGAAUCUGCCUAUUAGUGGGGGACAACAUCUCGAAAGGGAUGCUAAUACCGCAUACGUCCUACGGGAGAAAGCAGGGGAUCUUCGGACCAUGCGCUAAUAGAUGAGCCUAAGUCGGAUUAGCUAGUUGGUGGGGUAAAGGCCUACCAAGGCGACGAUCUGUAGCGGGUCUGAGAGGAUGAUCCGCCACACUGGGACUGAGACACGGCCCAGACUCCUACGGGAGGCAGCAGUGGGGAAUAUUGGACAAUGGGGGGAACCCUGAUCCAGCCAUGCCGCGUGUGUGAAGAAGGCCUUAUGGUUGUAAAGCACUUUAAGCGAGGAGGAGGCUUACCUAGUUAAUACCUGGGAUAAGUGGACGUUACUCGCAGAACAAGCACCGGCUAACUCUGUGCCAGCCGCCGCAGUAA